CCUACGGGUGGCAGCAGUGGGGAAUAUUGCACAAUGGGCGCAAGCCUGAUGCAGCCAUGCCGCGUGUGUGAAGAAGGCCUUCGGGUUGUAAAGCACUUUCAGCGGGGAGGAAGGCGUUAAGGUUAAUAACCUUGUCGAUUGACGUUACCAGCAGAAGAAGCACCGGCUAACUCCGUGCCAGCAGCCGCGGUAAUACGGAGGGUGCAAGCGUUUAUCGGAAUUACUGGGCGUAAAGCGCACGCAGGCGGUCUGUCAAGUCGGAUGUGAAAUCCCCGGGCUCAACCUGGGAACUGCAUUCGAAACUGGCAGGAUAGAGUCUGGUAGAGGGGGGUAGAAUUCCAGGUGUAGCGGUGAAAUGCGUAGAGAUCUGGAGGAAUACCGGUGGCGAAGGCGGCCCCCUGGACAAAGACUGACGCUCAGGUGCGAAAGCGUGGGGAGCAAACAGGAUUAGAUACCCCAGUAGUC
rnacentral:rRNA from 1 species